rnacentral:sRNA from 1 species
AACGAGAUCUCGCGCCAUCAAAUCAAGAUGGCGUCAUUUUUUCAAACUUGCAUUGACAGCAUACAAAGGCAAUGUUUCCGGUGAUUAGUUGCAUCCUCUGUUCGGUGAUACGGGUGAAUGUUUUGACCAGCUGGACGAUGUGAACGCAAGAUAAAUAGAACAGACAUAAAGUACAGCCCAGUGAAAGGAACAAGUUCAGCGCAAGAAAAAGAAUUUUAAUGCUACCACUGUCCAGAACUACUAAGUCUGCUGUAGCCAUGAUGUGAUCAUAUGAGUGCUUUACCGGUCUGGACAAUGCUCGAAAGUCCCCCAAAAAGGCCUAUUUCCAUAAACUACGACUCGGGUUACAUCAACAACAGCCAAGGACACUCCUUAUUGAUUCGAAUGGACACAUAUCUACGACCCGACUAAACCUCUGCAGAACAAGACUUUUUAACUGUAAAGUAUUCUCAUUUCAAAAAACCUAUUAACUAUAAAAGUACUUUUUUUAUAUGAUCAAAUACCAGUAUAUUACAAUGUCUGUCUGUAAGCUAGAAUCUUAGAAAAUCACAUGGUUUUGACUUAUUAAAUGAUUGUUUAGACCUUGCAGAUAUUAACUUUCAUUUUCUUAAAUAAUUUGUUAUAUUUGCAAAAAUUGCAUAAAAUAUUAGACUCCAUGUAACAUAUAUCCUCACACCUUCAAAUUGAUAAGUGUUAACUACUUUUUUUCCCAUUUUCUUUGUUUAAACAUUUAUUGAUAACUUAGUUUUUAUUUGCAGCAAUAUAUGAAAAAUUAAGAAACCAAUCUUAAAUGUAAAAACACUGCAUUAGGAGAUGAAUGCAUGGGUCAUAGAAAUGAUAAAAUACACCAAACAAUAUUCAAUUAUGUCGUAUAUGAAAAUAUAUAAAGACAACAUAUACCCCAUGUAUUACAAUUUUUAUAUAACAAAAUUACUUGGAUGGAAAGUUGUUUCCAUGUGGGUUUUAUUUUAAUCUGUGUUAUGUUACUAAUAUAUAAUUGGAAUUAGCUUUUAUAUCAUAAGUAAAAUGCUGGUAUUGAUGAGAAUUGUAAGGUGAAUGAUCUGUGUGAUACUUUGUAUUUUAUACAUUCAUGCUACAAAAAGCAAGUACAUGUACAUGUAGUAAUACUUGACAUAUAUAAACAAUGUAUAUUUUACUUCAUGUCUUGGAUUUAAAAAUAUUAAUGUAGGUAAAGUAGUGAAAUGUAGGAAGGUAAACCGUGUGUAAAGAAGAAUAUUCAUCAGGAAUGAAGUGUGUUGCAAUCAGCAUAAUUAAUUAAAUGUGUACAUCAUAUUUUUGCACAUAAUUUGACAGACUGCUCCAUUGUUAGCUUUUUAUUGGCCAACAAGCUUUUCAUAUCUCCCUCUGGGUCAUCUAUUAAAUACUGACAGGCUUAUGAUAUUAAAAUCUGAUCAGUUGGUACAUCAUGGGUGGAAAUGAAAAGCUCACUUUGGACUUAAUGGAUUAUCAAAAAAAUGAUAUCAAAUCCUGUUCUAUUGUAAAACAUUAGAUUAUAUUACUAACAAAGAAAAGGUAUAUCCCAACUUGUAAGUGGGUCACUAUGACCUCAUUUUGGAAUUUAUUGACAUAUUCAAAUCAAAUCUGGGUCAUACCUCUAUAGUCAACUACUAUUUUGUAGUGUAUUUUUUUUUUUUUAAAGAUGGAUACUUUAGACUUUUCAAAAAUAUUUUAUGGUGUACAUAUUCAUUGUAGUUCAAAACAAAUUGAGACAAGUGUAUCAUGUUCAUGUAACAGUGAAGGUUUCUUUGUUUAUUCAUGUACGUGCAGUUAUUUUGUAAAUUGCAUUCAUAUUUUUAAAAAAGUAAGAUCUUUGUUGCAUUUUUAAAGGUAGAUUUGAUAGGCAUUUAAUCGAGAUAAAAAAAAAAUACAAAUGUAAAGAUUUCUAUGGGAGUUUUUUUUCUUGUGCAAUUUUAUCAUUUUUAAAUAAAAGUCCCUAAUAAGGGAAUUGCCAUAUGGAUGUUUCUCCAUUAUUGUAUCUUGGCUGUAUUUUAUUUAUUAUUGGAAACAAUUUCAGAUUUUUGAACAAAAUAAAUUUGGAACUGUU